rnacentral:rRNA from 1 species
AUGGAGAAACGCGCGGAGGAGCUCCGGGGCCUCAAUCAAGAAGCUCUCCGGUCCCUGGCACAGGAGCGGGAGCGACUCGCCGAGGAGCAUACAGCCUUCCUUCUCGAGAAGGCCGAAGCUGAGGAGGAACAAAGGCUUGCUGCCGAGAAGCAAUCCGCGCGAGAAGGCGAGUUGGUGCAGCGGAAGGCCAACCUCGACAGCUACGAGGAGGAGCUUGCCGAGCGCGAGCAAGCAAUUGGCGGGGCGCUCAAGGAAGCAAAGGACGCUUCCGCAACUGCAGAGGCCGCCAAGAAAGAGCUGGAGGCGAAGGUGGCACAGCUGGAGGCCAAUAUCAGGAAGAGCGGCGAGGAGCUUGCCGCGCUCAAGCGUGAGCGCGAGAAGGAUGCUGCCGCCCAUGGUGAGCUACAAGGUCUUCUCGCUGAGAGGGGCAAGGAGCUCAGCACCGCCAAGGACUCCAACGCGGAUCUCGAGUUGAAGCUGGCUACGCUGACUCAGACGCUGGACGCCGCCAAGGAGCGAGAGGUGACCUUGUCGGAGAAGAUCAAGGCCGACGCAGCGCUGCUGGCGAGCAUCGCCGUUACCCAGAACUCAUUUAGGGAGAUCGUGGAGCAUUGGACCGAGGGUCUGGUGAACAUCGCCGCAGUCAUCGACGGGGAGCUGGCGCAGCUGGGGAUGGAGGACUUUGGGUAUCCUUCCGAUGAGCAUCUCCAACCCAGCGCCAAGCUCAGCCUGUUCUUCAAGGGCGUGGCGACGGCACUCUAG